AUGAACUAAAUGGAGGACAGCACUGAGGUGUUUUUUUCUUUAUCAAUUGUUUUAUGUAUCCCACUUCUUGAGCUGCAAUAUUAAUCUUGUUUAUGCCUAAAAGAUUCCAGAUUUCCAAUUCAAUGAUUGAUAAUUGUAAAUUGAGGAUAUAGUUUUAAGAAAGCUUUCUUUUUGGGUUUAAGAAUUUGGUUGUGUAAUGAUAAAA
rnacentral:lncRNA from 1 species